UCAGCACUUAGUAUCAGCAAGUGUCUCGCUAAUGACUUGCAUCUCCGAGACAUGACUUGCAUCUCGCUUAUAGCAACGCAGCACGGCCGACACCCUGUUAUUGCUUCCGCUCUGUCCACAUCGGGUCAUAUAAAUGUUUGUCUGGCUUUGUCUUCACUUCAUCAGCCAUGGACAGAACUUUGCUAUUUGUCCUGUUGGGUCUGCAGGCUUUCCUGCUCAUCACAGCCUUCACUUCUACUGAUGCAAUCGCUCAGGGAGGAAAAACAGUGAGAAAUUGGCCUGGCUGCUGGAAAAGACCAGGAGCAUGUGGUCACUACAAAACACGUCAGGAGGGAGAAAAGGUCUUUGUCAGGAUGUGACCACAUAAUUGGAGCAUUUGGACCAAUAGUUUCUCAGUAGUAACUGGCACCAUGUUUCCACUUGACUACCGACAAGAGAACCUCAGCGCUCCACUCCUCGUACCGUAUCUCAUAAAGGAUCAACCCAAGAACAGAUCUGAUCUGCAAAAACUAGUUUCUGCCUAAAUGCUGCAUAUGUUGUAUAUUUCCAUUGUUAUUCUUAUGGACAAAAAGUGGUUUUAAAUUGUUUAUUUUUUGGCCUACAGGAGAAGUGCAUUUGUAUUGUAGUGCUUGUGAAUGUGCACUUAUUUAUCAUGUUCACAAUACAGGAGAAACAAAGCGACAUUUGCUUCAGCUCUAUCCUCAAUUAGUUGUUUUAUUUUAAUCAGUUAAUAAAAAGAAGCAGAUUACAGUAUUAAAAUAGC